CAAGUCGAGGGGCAGCACAGAAGAAGUUUACUUCUUGGGUGGCGACCGGCGCACGGGUGCGUAACGCGUAUGCAAUCUACCUUGUACAGAGAGAUAGCCCAGAGAAAUUUGGAUUAAUACCUCAUAGUAUCAUUGAAUGGCAUCAUUUAAUGAUUAAAGUUUCGGCGGUACAAGAUGAGCAUGCGUCCUAUUAGUUAGAUGGUGAGGUAACGGCUCACCAUGACUACGAUAGGUAGGGGUUCUGAGAGGAUGAUCCCCCACACUGGUACUGAGACACGGACCAGACUCCUACGGGAGGCAGCAGUGAGGAAUAUUGGUCAAUGGACGCAAGUCUGAACCAGCCAUGCCGCGUGCAGGAAGACGGUCCUCUGGAUUGUAAACUGCUUUUAUUUGGGAAGAAACCCCCGGUCGUGCAUCGGGGCUGACAGUACCAAAGGAAUAAGCACCGGCUAACUCCGUGCCAGCAGCCGCGGUAAUACGGGGGGUGCAAGCGUUAUCCGGAAUCAUUGGGUUUAAAGGGUCCGCAGGCGGGCUAAUAAGUCAGUGGUGAAAUCCCUCAGCUUAACUGAGGAACUGCCAUUGAUACUGCUAGUCUUGAAUUCGGUCGAAGUGGGCGGAAUGUGUCAUGUAGCGGUGAAAUGCAUAGAUAUGACACAGAACACCGAUAGCGAAGGCAGCUCACUGGGCCUGAAUUGACGCUCAGGGACGAAAGCGUGGGGAGCAAACAGGAUUAGAUACCCUGGUAGUCCACGCCGUAAACGAUGAUUACUCGAUAUUGGCGAUAUACAGUCAGUGUCUAAGCGAAAGUGAUAAGUAAUCCACCUGGGGAGUACGAUCGCAAGGUUGAAACUCAAAGGAAUUGACGG
rnacentral:rRNA from 1 species